GGUCACACCUACCCAGCCCGAUAGUGAACUCAAGUUCACAAGCACGGCUGUACUGACGCCAGCAGUGAAAGUGUUGACCCCAGGCCCCAUCUCCUUGAGCAAGGCCCAACAACUGAAGGAGCCAUCACCCCCCCGCUGUCUGCAUUACGUUAAGACGGUGGUGCCCAAGGGCAGCAAACGCCGCAUGAGACGGUCAAGAGUCACGAGAAACAGGCAGGCGCUUGAAGAAAGGUGUAAUAAAUACAAGAAAGAGGUUCUGAGAAAGAGGAGAAUAUAUCGAGAUCUCCAAGGGAAGAGAGAUGGACUGAUUGCAAGAGCUGCAGCGAAAUUGGCCGCUCAGUUGGCGGCAAAGUACCCCAGGGCCCUCUCUGAAGCGGAGGCAGAGAGCGAUGUUGAAGGGGAGAAAAAAACAAUGCCCGAAGAAGCGAUUAAGGGGAAACUAAAGAAGAAGCUUGAAGAGUUCAACCUGAAGAUGAAGCGGAAAUCGACGCAACAAACACCAACAUAAACUCAAAGGCAGUUUGUUAUCUUCACUUGGCAUCAUGAGCUCAUCUCCCACUAGAAUAGAACCUGCUGCUGACCCAUCUAGACCCUAUGGACAUCAGUUGGCUUACAUUGUUACCUAUCAACCAUUUAUAGAUUUGUAAUGACACUAGCAAAGGAUUUGUUAUCUUUGAGCCACAUCCUUUAAGGCUACAUAGUGAAGUUUUUUUUUUCAGAUUGGGUUUAUCUGUAGUAGCAUGGGUACGGUCAGGGGCUUUUCUUGACAACGUGAUCUGACUAGCAAAAAUGAUUGCCUAUAUAGGCUUUUCGCUUUAAUUAGGUCCUGGAUAUUUUCCUAGGCUGGUCAUUUGGUCGGGAAAAACUCUUAACCCAUUUCUGUGGAUCCUCUUUCACUGUGUAUAUAUACAAAAUAAAGAGUUAUUUUAUUUCUUUUUCUCAAAAAGUUA